GGGGGCGAACUGGGCUCGACGGGAGUAGUUGAGGUCGAGGUCGCAUGCCGAGCACCCAUCUGCUCGUAAAACGGUGGGAAAAAGACAACUGCCGACACGGUAGAAUACGCUCUGGCCGCUUAAGGCGGCCAGCGUCCUUACCCUUCUUGCCCACGGGAGGGAGUUUAGGGCGUCGACUUAGCGGGCUGGCUUCCGCUCCCCUGCCUGAGGGGAUCGGAAGCGAGAACCAUCCAGGCUAGUCUCUGAUGGACCCUGCCUGCGGGGACUGAGGAGGCGAAAUUUAAAUGCGGGCUAAGCAUGUAGGGACCUCAGGCUGAAGGCUUUCGGACGCGGGUUCGAUUCCCGCCGCCUCCACCA
rnacentral:tmRNA from 1 species